rnacentral:tRNA from 1 species
CCCAGGGUGGUGCAAUGGGAGCAUUGUGGAAAGAAUAACUCGACAGAUCUGGGUUCGAUUCCCAGCCCUGGCC